UGAACGCUGGCGGCAUGCCUUACACAUGCAAGUCGAACGGCAGCACGGGUGCUUGCACCUGGUGGCGAGUGGCGAACGGGUGAGUAAUACAUCGGAACAUGUCCUGUAGUGGGGGAUAGCCCGGCGAAAGCCGGAUUAAUACCGCAUACGAUCUACGGAUGAAAGCGGGGGACCUUCGGGCCUCGCGCUAUAGGGUUGGCCGAUGGCUGAUUAGCUAGUUGGUGGGGUAAAGGCCUACCAAGGCGACGAUCAGUAGCUGGUCUGAGAGGACGACCAGCCACACUGGGACUGAGACACGGCCCAGACUCCUACGGGAGGCAGCAGUGGGGAAUUUUGGACAAUGGGCGAAAGCCUGAUCCAGCAAUGCCGCGUGUGUGAAGAAGGCCUUCGGGUUGUAAAGCACUUUUGUCCGGAAAGAAAUCCUUGGCUCUAAUACAGUCGGGGGAUGACGGUACCGGAAGAAUAAGCACCGGCUAACUACGUGCCAGCAGCCGCGGUAAUACGUAGGGUGCGAGCGUUAAUCGGAAUUACUGGGCGUAAAGCGUGCGCAGGCGGUUUGCUAAGACCGAUGUGAAAUCCCCGGGCUCAACCUGGGAACUGCAUUGGUGACUGGCAGGCUAGAGUAUGGCAGAGGGGGGGUAGAAUUCCACGUGUAGCAGUGAAAUGCGUAGAGAUGUGGAGGAAUACCGAUGGCGAAGGCAGCCCCCUGGGCCAAUACUGACGCUCAUGCACGAAAGCGUGGGGAGCAAACAGGAUUAGAUACCCUGGUAGUCCACGCCCUAAACGAUGUCAACUAGUUGUUGGGGAUUCAUUUCCUUAGUAACGUAGCUAACGCGUGAAGUUGACCGCCUGGGGAGUACGGUCGCAAGAUUAAAACUCAAAGGAAUUGACGGGGACCCGCACAAGCGGUGGAUGAUGUGGAUUAAUUCGAUGCAACGCGAAAAACCUUACCUACCCUUGACAUGGUCGGAAUCCCGCUGAGAGGUGGGAGUGCUCGAAAGAGAACCGGCGCACAGGUGCUGCAUGGCUGUCGUCAGCUCGUGUCGUGAGAUGUUGGGUUAAGUCCCGCAACGAGCGCAACCCUUGUCCUUAGUUGCUACGCAAGAGCACUCUAAGGAGACUGCCGGUGACAAACCGGAGGAAGGUGGGGAUGACGUCAAGUCCUCAUGGCCCUUAUGGGUAGGGCUUCACACGUCAUACAAUGGUCGGAACAGAGGGUUGCCAACCCGCGAGGGGGAGCUAAUCCCAGAAAACCGAUCGUAGUCCGGAUUGCACUCUGCAACUCGAGUGCAUGAAGCUGGAAUCGCUAGUAAUCGCGGAUCGGCAUGCCGCGGUGAAUACGUUCCCGGGUCUUGUACACACCGCC
rnacentral:rRNA from 1 species